UCUUCAGAAGUCAUUUCGAAAGUUGAGAACACUUUUAGAAAAUGGAUUUCUCAAAGGUUUUCUUCUUCGUCUUUGCCUGUCUUUUGGCUUUAUCCUCAGUGUCAGCAGCGCCCAGCCCUAAAUGGAAGAUUUUCAAGAAAAUUGAAAAAGUUGGCAGAAAUGUAAGAGACGGACUCAUCAAAGCCGGCCCAGCAGUGCAGGUCGUCGGCCAAGCAACUUCCAUCGUCAAGGGAUAAUCACUCUUAAGACCACUAGCACAAUGACUCAUUUAGCAUAAUUUGACUAGUCUUAUGUAUAAGCUGUAUUAUUAAGAUGUAAAUAAAUAUUUAUUCUACUGCA